UGCGUAGGCGGACAAAUAAGCCAGUGGUGAAAUCACUCAGCUUAACUGAGUAACUGCCAUUGAUACUGUUAGUCUAGAAUGUAAAUGGAGUAGGCGGAAUGAAUCAUGUAGAGGUGACAUUCAUAGAUAUGAUUCAGAACACCGAUCGCGAAGGCAGCUUGCUAAGAUACAAUUGACGCUGAUGCACGAAAGCGUGGGUAGCAAACA
rnacentral:rRNA from 1 species